rnacentral:misc_RNA from 1 species
GCUAGAUCUGUUUGAUUUUGAUGCUGCAGCUGAGGUCAGUGGGUCAAAAUUCUAUUACUUGAAGAAUGAAGCAGUUAUUUUAGAGAUGGGUCUUGUAAACUGGGCAGUUUCCGAGGCCAUGAAAAGAGGUUUUACACCUCUGACAACUCCUGAGAUUGUAAGGUCAUCUGUGGUGGAAAAAUGUGGAUUUCAACCCCGUGGAACGAACACUCAGGUGUACUCCAUUGAAAAUAGUGAUCAGUGCCUGAUUGGCACUGCUGAGAUUCCAGUAGGCGGAAUACAUAUGGACUCCAUUCUGUCUGAGUCUUCAUUACCAUUGAAAUAUGUG